GAUGUUUGCCAAAGAGUGCAAAGUUUCAGUUACAUGGGAGGAAUCAGUUCUGGUGGUUUAUUGCAAAACAUGGUGACUAUAGUUAAUGUACUAUGUAUUUCAAAACAUCUAAAAGAAAAGAUUUUAAGUGUUCUCACUACAAAGCAAUGAUAAAUAUUUGAGAUGCUGAACUUUUUAAUACUUACAUUCUUAAGUUUUUCAAGGCUUUUCUAAUAAGUCUGGCAUUCCUGCCCUUGGCAGUGUGAGAUGGAAGAUGAUGUCGCAAGGGUGGCCGAGAAGCAGCUGGGCUGAGCUGCUAAAAGCACAGAGACCGGGGCCAGACUCCUCAGCCUGAAAUCCUGCUUCCACUAAGUACCAGCUGGGUAACUUCAGGCAUCAGUCCUGCCAUGGUUCACACCAGCAGUGCAGCCCGUGCUCAUGGAGGUGAAGUGAGAGACUGGCCUGCAAGAGUGACACAUACAGAGAAGCGGAGCCUACUCAACAUAAGAUGAUGAGGAUGAAGACCUUUAUGGUGAUCCACUUCUACUUAAUGAAUGGUCUUCUGUGCUCAGUUUCAGGCCCUGGAGGUCCAUGCUUCUGCCCAAGCUGUGUCUCAUCUCUGCAGGUGGAGCCCAGUUGACAGGAAAUGUUUCUCCAGAAGCUGAAAAGCUGCCUGGUAAAGGCCUUUCAUAAAAUGGUCUGCGUUUGGGACCAGGAAGACAGAAGACUCCUCAAGAAGAGAACUGGAACCUUAACCCACUUCAGACUUCUUCAUGUCUGAAGCUUAUUUCCACCAUCCCAUUGAGAACCAAAGAAGCGAGCUCCUUGGAGAAUCGGCUCCCACCUGGACCUUCUGUUUAUCCUUCCAAUAGCUGCUGCAUUCAUCCUUCCCAGCUAAUGACACUUCCAGCCUUUCGUGUUUCAAAGUAUCACGGACUUUGCAAAAGAUUCCAGGUUUCUAUGGAGCAGAUAGUACUUUUAACAAUCAACAUGUGCAUUAUUAUUUCCUCCUAAGGCAUACUUAGACAUCAAUGCAUGCUACAGCAAGGCAACUUAUCUCACCCUCACCAAGGGAUAUUCUGCACUUUCAGUGGCAAAAUUUUAAAGAAAAGGAGACAAAAUGGAACACAAAUUCAAUAUGACUAUUGUCAUCCUUCCCUCCCAGGAAGUGUAGGAAUCAUCCAAAGUGGUAAAAGAGCAGCGCUUCUAAACUCUGACUUCACAUGGAAAAUAACGCGACUACUAAAACUGAUAACAAUAGCAGUCCAUGCCAUUUGACAGGGGUGUGUAGGAGAGGUGGUGAGCAAGCUGAAAUCCCUUCAGGUAUUUGCAGAACUUCUGAGCAAAAGCUAAAGCUAAAAUUAACAUUAAAUAUGCAAAGUAUUUUUAACCCAACAUAAAUUAACAAUGUUCCUAUUUCAAUUCUAUUGCUCUUGGGAUGACUAUGUCCUUUGGAAAAUGUUUAAAUAACUUAAGAUUUCCGUCAUGAGUUUACUAUUUCAAAACUUAUUUUUUUAACUGCAAGAUACCUUUUUAUGUUACCAGGAGUGUUACCAGCUAGCUGCCAAAACCUGGUUGAAGUUCUCCCACUUUAUAUUGUAAAUGAUUACAUAGUUUAUUAGUAAUUGUGUCCCCUGUCCACCCACUGGUCCAUUUGGAUGGGAAAAUUUUCAAAAUAACUUCAUAAGAAAAUGAUAAGAAAAAUGUGGUCACCGGUAUCAUGAGGAACUUCCAGACAGCUCAGCACAGAAAAGUUGGUUUUAAAGUCCUCGAAAACGUUACUGGUAAUGAGCUUCCACUCCUUUAGUCGUUGUGCAUAGAUACACCACAGAGUAAGGUUAUAAAAAUAAAAGUUGUUUCAGGAAAUUUCCCAUUGCUUUAUUACAUGAUCAAUGAGAGUAAAGAGAAAUGGAAGUUGACGGGAUAGGAAUGAGGGACCUGCUGGAAGAGUGAUCACAAUAUCCAAAGGAAAUUUAAAAUGCCUGUUGAAAGUGACACACUGACUCAGCAUUGUCACUAACACAGAAUCACCACAAUAAAACUGCCCUGCCCUGUGGCUCCUGGCACCUCAUGUCUCUUUAGGUUAAGCAGAGAGAGGUCUGUGUUGCUUUGGAACAAGGUGCAGCCUCCCCCUAAGCUACAGAGAGGCUCUGAGCAAGGACCAGCCCCCAGGGUGCAGCCUUGCCCACCCUCCACAGGCUCCAGAGCAGAUGGGGUGGCUCUAGAGAGCAAAUGGUCAAAACUUCUAGCGCUAAAUAGAGCUUUAACAUGUCUCAGAUACUAGCAAAAUAGAGAAGCCUCAGAUGGCUUUAGGUCUGGAAGUGUGUUGCUAAAAAUGCUAAAAAUUUAACAAACUUUUAUAAAUCCUUAAGAGAUCUUUUUCAGUUUUCUGAAGUACCGUUAAUUGCCCAUGUGUUUCAACUUGCAGACAGGCAAGAAUUUGGCUUUGUAUGUUUAAAAAUAUGUACAUCUUGGUUCAUAAUGAUGAUUUAUUUCCAAAAUGGUGACUCAUACUAGGAUUACAUAUAAAACAUCAUAUGUGGGCCUUAUAUGUAAUAAUGUGUAAGUAUAGUAUAUUAAUUACUCUGACAUAACAUGGGCAGAGAUUUGUAUUAAUUUAUUUCUAUUUCAUCUAAUCAAUAUUUUACUUAAGUCUAAAACCUUAUAUAUAUAUUGACAUGUAUCAUCGUAUAUAUAAACAUUGUAUCUAUUGAACUGAGCAAUCUGUAGUUUAUUUUAAAUUCUGAUACAUUAAAGAUGUGGAGAACUACAUUGAACCCCUCCCCUCUGUUACCAAGGGUGAGAGAUAUGGUGGCUUCUUCUUGGAUAUCUGAAUGGUGGUGAGAUCAACCUCUGGGCCAGCCAAGUAUGGAACUCAAUCCAAAACAACGGACUUCU
rnacentral:lncRNA from 1 species